rnacentral:rRNA from 1 species
AUACGGAGGGGGCUAGUGUUGUUCGGAUUUACUGGGCGUAAAGCGCACGUAGGCGGAUUGAUUAGUUAGGGGUGAAAUCCCGAGGCUCAACCUCGGAACUGCCUUUAAUACUGUCAAUCUCGAGACCGGAAGAGGUGAGUGGAACUCCUAGUGUAGAGGUGGAAUUCGUAGAUAUUAGGAAGAACACCAGUGGCGAAGGCGGCUCACUGGUCCGGUACCGACGCUGAGGUGCGAAAGCGUGGGGAGCGAACAGGAUUAGAAACCCUAGUAGUCC